GGAGGAGGAAGAGUGUAGCUCAGUCAGUGUGGUUGCGGCCAUGGUUAGGUUUGGGAGGCAAGGCGCGCACUCUCCCCACUCACUUCCCUCUCACUCCCCUCUCACUCCCCUCGCCUCGUCAGCCCCUCCGUCAGGCAGCCCUUAUCGACCGUGCCCCGUCAAGGAGGACAUAGGAAGGAGAGGGAAAGUGAGGGAGAUGGUGAUAAAGGAGUGAGAUAAAGAAAGAAAGAGAGAUAGAGAAAUAAUGUGUUAGUGAUUAUUAUUAUUAUUUAUUUAUUUUUUUUUUUUUGUAUUUUUCUCUCACAUGUUUUUGUGCAUAAGAAAACAUUGUGAAGAGAUUAAUAUUUUUGACGUACAUGUUUGUGUUUGCAUGUGCGUGCGUGCGUGCGUGCGUGCGUGCGCGUGUUUGUGUGUGAGGAACUGUACGCACACACACAUAUCUAUACGUACAUAAAAGGAUACGUACAUGAAAGCUGACACGUGUAUGCAGUCUGUGUGUUUACGUGGGAGUAGAGAUAACAUGCGUGCUUUCCUCCACCUCCUCCUCCUCCUCCACUCCUCCUCCUCCUCCUCGUGUGGGUCGAGUAGCAUCUCCCCAACAGCAACAGGUGGAAGCGAGGAGAGCCGACAGGUGUAAUGGGUCUCGCGUACCUGGCCGACUGUACCCACCUGCACCCACCUUCCUGACGCCUAUCUGUGUGUACGUGUGCGUGUACCUGUAAAAGUAGACAUAGUGUUUUUUUCGACUGUACGUAAAUUUGGAAAUACCUCUUUGGUUACGUACAUAAGGGAAGUGUGAGUGUGUACGUACGUGCGUGUGUAUAUUGGUAACUUACUCAGGUGUAUUCACUGGUAACUGGAGUGAAUAAGGGUGUGGUUCAUUGUGUCACGCUUCACUGCCUCACUGCCUCACUUCAUUGCUUCGGAAAAAGGACUGAAUGAAGCUUGAAUCCCGGAAAAGAUUGAGGUUUUUACAGAGACGGAAAAAUAUAGAGGGGAAAAACACGAAUAUUGAGGAAAAAUUCGAAUCUACAGGGAAGAAACGAAUACACAAGGAAAAACAAAUUUAGAGCGGGGAAAAACGAACAGAGGGGAAAAAACGUGUACAUUCCCUUUAACUUCGUGGGGGAAAGUUGUUGGUGUUAUGGUGUUACUUCAGUGACGUCUAGAAUGGAAUGCCUGGCGCCUGGUUGGAAUAUGAAUCAUGGAGAGCUGCUGUCACGCUCCCUGGAAUGACUCACUGGAAUAUCUGGCUGGAAUGUCUCAGUUGGAGGUGGAAUGAAUCAAUAAUUUCCUGGAACCAAUCAGUAGCUGGAAGUACUCUUUACACUCGCUGGAAUGAGUGAAUGAAUGUUUUGUAUGAGUAAUCAACUAGCUGGAAUGUCUUGAUAAUUAACUGGAAUUAACUUUAACCUGCUGGAAUGUGUUGAAAAUAACUGGAAUUAACUUUAACCUGCUGGAAUGUGUUGAAAAUAACUGGAAUUAACUUUAACCUGCUGGAAUGUGUUGAAAAUAACUGGAAUUAACUAAUAAUAACCUUUCGAAAUGUGUAGACAAGUAAGUGAAAUGAUUAUAUAACUCACACGAAAAGUCCAAACAAAGAACCGGAAUGAAUUGAACUUAUCAACUUUGGAAAUAUGAAUCCGAAGCAUUGAACAAUCUCAUAUGAACAAGUGUAAUGAACCAGACAGAAACACCGGAAUGAACCACUGGAACCAACACAAUAAUACCCCCAACGACCCAGUAACGUGCCUCAGCCGACCAGACGACCCCCAGGAACGGCUCAACCAAACCGCAGGUCACUGGAAUGAAGGAAGAGGACAAGGGCGUGAAGGAAGUGCCAUGACUGAGACUGGAAACUCCUUCAGCUCACGCUCCACCAAAGGAUAAGUCACCGGAAACCUCUUAAGUCACAAAGAAAAGAUCCUUUAACUCCGGAAUCCUUUUACCCUCGCCUCCUGUUGCUGACCCAUCCAAUUCUUCCAGUCCUUCACUUAUUAUCCUACGCAUCCUGCACUGAAGAUCUCACGCAUCCUACAAUCCUGCAUCACGCAUCCUGCACGUCGCACACUCAAAGUUCAUCCCAUCCUUCAAAUCCUUAACCUUAAAAUCCUUCAAAAUCCUACGUAUCCUACACUCAAGAUCCCAAGCAUCCUAUAAUCGACAUCCUACAACUAUCCUUCAAAUCUAAACUAUCCUUCAAGUCCUUACGUCUGCAUCAUACACAGAAGAUAACAAGUAUCCUUUACUCGACAUCCUACAAUCUACACACAAGAUGGCGUCUCCAGGCUCUUCCGUGGCGCCCCUGGAGAGUGCAGGAUGGAGGAGGCGUCGCCAAGCCUACGCCAAGUCCUGCAGCACUCCGACGACUCGAACCUUGCGCCUUCUCGCCGACUACAUCCAAGGGCGCCUCCCACACAGUCUCUCCGCGUCGCUGGAGGAGGAUGGGGACAGGGGAGUAGAGGGGGCGUCCUGGGGGGGCUGCCUCUCCCCCCGCGACCCACCCCUCCUGCUGCACCACGUCCUACACGCCCGCACGCGCGCCAGGGCCCUCGGCAGCCUCCCCAAGAUGCACUCC